AAGACUGCAGUCUCUGGAAUCACCUUCACCUAAUGUGACCUGGAACAAGUUCCUUUUCCUCUCUGAACCUCAUUUUGCUCAUCUGUAAAAUGAGGACAAGGCUGUCAAGAGGACUAGAGAUGACUUAAAUACAAUGCAUUGCAUUUGGAAGAAUGAAAAAGCAAUUCAUUAUCACUCAAGUCUUUGUGAACUUCACAAGGCUCUGGAGAAGCAUUCCAGUUGGGAUCAGCACGACCCCUUAAACCUGAUGGUGUCCAUGCCUUUGUGCCUUCAGCUUCAUUUUUCAUCUGAAAACCACUGCUGUUUUUCUGAUUUGCUGUUUCCUUCUCUGGACCAUCUGAUUUUACCUUAUUAAAAAUCAAGAUAAAACCUCCAUAAUAUUAGCAUUUUAAAAUGUAAUCACUGGCACAAAAAAAUAGGAUAGAUACAAAAUUAUUAAACUGAGUACACGUCAAUGGUAUAUUAUACCUUUACUAUUCUUUUCUUUGAAGGGUUUACAACUGCAUUUUAAAUGUAAAAGAUCAUCAUUUCAAAUUUCCAUAAAUAUAUC